rnacentral:lncRNA from 1 species
ACAGCGGACGAUCUACCCCGGAUCUCUACUGUAAAUAGAUUUCUUUCGAACUUCCAUUACAGGUAGACUUCAGUCGAGUUCCUUCGAAGCUGGAUCCCGGACGAGCUUCUACCAGGGGGCAGGAUUCAUCGGCCAGGUCGUUACUCCGAGCUCCUACGAUAAUUGAUCUUCGAUCGAGCUCCAACAAUAAGUGGCCUCCUUUCGGCCUCCCACGAGAAUCGAACUCCAUUCGAGCUUCCACAGCGAAUGGAUUCUGGAUGAGCUUUCGUAACGGAAGGGCUCCAGCAGCUAGAUUUCUACAACGGUCGAUCGCCCCCAGAUCCCCCAUACUCCUCCAGCAGGCGAGUCUCUCCAGUGCUAUCGAGGUCCAUCACCAGUCGACCUCCUACCAGGCUCCCAA